rnacentral:rRNA from 1 species
GGACGGGUGAGUAACACGUGGAUAAUCUACCUUAAUGUUUGGGAUAGCAUAUGGAAACAUGUGAUAAUACCGGAUGAGACGCUUAGUACACAGGUACCUAGCGGGAAAGGUCCUACGGGAUUGCAUUAAGAUGAGUCCGCGGCCCAUUAGCUAGUUGGUGAGGUAAAGGCCCACCAAGGCAACGAUGGGUAGCCGGCCUGAGAGGGUGGACGGCCACAUUGGGACUGAGAUACGGCCCAGACUCCUACGGGAGGCAGCAGCUAAGAAUCUUCCACAAUGGACGAAAGUCUGAUGGAGCGACGCCGCGUGAACGAUGAAGGCCGUGAGGUUGUAAAGUUCUUUUCAUGAAGAGGAAUAAGUUGAGCAGGGAAUGGCUUGAUGAUGACGUUAAUCAUGGAAUAAGCCCCGGCUAACUACGUGCCAGCAGCCGCGGUAACACGUAGGGGGCGAGCGUUGUUCGGAAUUAUUGGGCGUAAAG